AUGAGUGAUGAAUCUUCCUCUUGCUGGAGUUGAGGCAGUGUUGUCUAGUGAUGAUCUCCAAAUUGCUUUAGAAGAUGCUGUUUAUGAUUUUGCUGUGAAGUGGAGUAGGAAUCAUUACUCGAACUUGCAGGAGAGACGAAACGGAAUCCCCAAAUGGUGUACAUCAUGAGAAGAAAGGGAACAAGGGAGCACAACUUAUAUUGAGGAGAGGUUAACAGUUAACAGUGAAAACAUUAUGAGUCAGUCAGGCGAUCCAACUAUGGUAGCUGCUGCUCCAUCAGUUAAUAUUACAGGAGUACUCCCUUCUGAUAUGAAGAAGAAGAGAGGUAGCCCUAGGAAGUAUGGCCUUGGUGGUGUUGUGGCGGCCGCAUUGUUGCCAAUGCCGAUUUCAGCUUCAAUUGCUCUCAGUCGAGACUUUUCAGGCUGGAAACAACAUAGAGCAAGCCUUUUCAGGCAAUAAAGAAGCCACAUCAAGUGGAGUUUAAGA